UACGUAGGGUGCAAGCGUUGUCCGGAAUUAUUGGGCGUAAAGAGCUCGUAGGCGGUUCUGCGCGUACGAUGAUCGGGAAAUCCGGGCUCAACCCCCGGACCUGCAUUCGAUACGGGCAGACUAGAGUUCGGUAGGGGAGUCUGGAAUUCCUGGUGUAGCGGUGAAAUGCGCAGAUAUCAGGAGGAACACCGGUGGCGAAGGCGGGACUCUGGGCCGAUACUGACGCUGAGGAGCGAAAGCGUGGGGAGCAAACAGG
rnacentral:rRNA from 1 species